rnacentral:lncRNA from 1 species
GCUCUGCAUGGUCUGGAUGAUGCCACUCUGGUGACAGACUGUUACCACUCCUGCCCUUUUCAGUAUCAGCAGGACCUUUCCAGGUGCCUCAUCCUGCCAGUGAAUCCGCCUGGUGAGGAAGCACAGCACCUCCUGCCACUCUACUGCACACACAUCCUGGUGUGUGCAACAAGGGAGUAAAUGAGAAAAUGGAAUAGUCUGCAGAGGUGUGAUCCUUCACACUUAGUUCAGUUCCUUAUUAACACCAUCCCUCCCCCUGUGUGCAGGCUGGGCUGAAUAUUACACACAGUGCCACUCCAACACCUGUGUCUGUGGAGGCUGGAAAAGAAGUGAUUGCUGAGAAUGGCUGCUUCUCUGGGUAUGAGACAUCCCAAGCCAGACACUUGGACUGCUUCAUACAGACAGUGGGCAGAGCACUGGCUCAGGUAAGAAAUGAGCAGUGAGCUCCUCCUGUGUCAAGUUUUGUAAGCACAGGAGAAAGGGCUUGCA